rnacentral:rRNA from 1 species
UUCCCCUAGUAACUGCGAGUGAAGCGGGAAAAGCUCAAAUUUUGAAUCUGGCGGUCUUUAGGCCGUCCGAGUUGUAAUCUAGAGAAGCGUCUUCCGCGCUGGACCGUGUAUAAGUUUCCUGGAAUGGAACGUCGUAGAGGGUGAGAAUCCCGUCUUUGACACGGACUACCAGGGCUAUGUGAUGCGCUCUCGACGAGUCGAGUUGUUUGGGAAUGCAGCUCAAAUAGGGUGGUAAAUUCCAUCUAAAGCUAAAUACAGGCGAGAGACCGAUAGCGAACAAGUACCGUGAGGGAAAGAUGAAAAGAACUUUGGAAAGAGAGUUAAACAGUACGUGAAAUUGCUGAAAGGGAAACGCUUGAUGUCAGUCGCGUCCGCCGGGGAUCAGCCUUGCUUAACGGCUCGGCGUACUUCCUGGUAGACGGGUCAGCAUCAGUUUUGACCGUCGGAAAAUGGCUCGAGGAAUGUGGCACUCUUUCGGGAGUGUGUUAUAGACUCGGGUCGAAUACGAUGAUUGGGACUGAGGAACUCAGCACGGCCUUAGGGUUCGGGACUUCGGUCUACGUUUUCGUGCUUAGGAUGCUGGCAUAAUGGCCUUAAGCGACCCGUCUUGAAACACGGACCAAGG